UUCUAAGUUUUCUUCAUUAAUUACUUCUUGUUUUUCAUUGAUUUCUAAAUUUUUUGAAUUUGUUAAUAUUUCUGUAUAUGUUUCACUAUCUUCUGAAUCAUAAUUAUCUGUCUCUUCAACAUCUAUAUUAUUUAUUUCUAAUUCCUUAUUUUUUAUUUCUUUAUUGUUUAUUUCUAAUUUUUCUUUAAAUUGAUUUAUCUCGUUUAGUAAUUUUUGUUCUUUAUCUUUUUCUUCCUUUUCCUUUUGUCUUUCUUCAUACAAAUCUUUUAACAUUUGUAGUUCUUUUUCUAAUUCANNN
rnacentral:lncRNA from 1 species